CUUGCUUUCUUUGCUGGCGACCGGCGCACGGGUGAGUAACACGUAUCCAACCUGCCCUUUACUCGGGGAUAGCCUUUCGAAAGAAAGAUUAAUACCCGAUAGCAUAAUGAUUCCGCAUGGUUUCAUUAUUAAAGGAUUCCGGUAAAGGAUGGGGAUGCGUUCCAUUAGGUUGUUGGUGGGGUAACGGCCCACCAAGCCUUCGAUGGGUAGGGGUUCUGAGAGGAAGGUCCCCCACAUUGGAACUGAGACACGGUCCAA
rnacentral:rRNA from 1 species